UUAAGUCCGCUAACGAGACGCAACCCUCCGCUGUGUGUUACAAGUGUCACACGGUACUGCCGGUCUUAAGCCGGAGGGAGGUGGGGAUGACGUCAAGUCAGCAUGGCCUUUAUGUCCUGGGCUACACACACGCUACAAUGGCCAACACAAUAGGUUGCUAAGCCGCGAGGUGGAGCCAAUCCUCAAAGUUGGUCUCAGUUCAGAUUGCAGGCUGCAACCCGCCUGCAUGAAGAUGGAGUUGCUAGUAACCGCAGGUCAGCUAUACUGCGGUCGAAUACGUUCCCGGGCCUU
rnacentral:rRNA from 1 species